CGCCGCACCACCGUUCUCCUCGCCCCUUCUCUAACCACCAAGAGGCAGCGACGCCCUCUAUCUUGCUCUUCCUCUCUCAGAUCUUCGACCAGAAUCAACAACCAACAACAGCCGGUGAGGACGACCGGACAGGCGAGGCCACCGGCAAGCAUCAGCUCCAUCCAGUGACACCAGACGCCUCUCUCCCCUCUUUUGCUCCUCCUAUUCGGGCAUCAACGAAGAGGACGAUGCCAACAACAACAACUAAAUAACAACAACAACACCAGUAGCAGACCUCAACGCCCAGUGAGACACACUCCAGCGAACGUCCAUUCUUCGGCAAAGAAUCAACCAGCAACAACAGUGUACAACGAGGACAUCAGCUCUGGUGCCCCCUCUUUUUUCUCAUUCCGGCGAAAUAGUAACUCUGACCAAUAUCUAUGGGUGCGAAGAAACAAGCUAAAAGCUUCAGAUCUUGAUCUAAAGGUUCAAGAUUUAGAAGAGUUGCCAGGGGAGGGAAACACUAGACGAGCUGAAUUUACUUAAUUUAUGUUUCGUAUAUUAUUGUUUUGUAAUAAUUUGUAUAAACUCCUAACUCUAAA